UAUAUAUAUAUUCAUUUUGUUCAAGUAUAUUGAAAACUAAUAUUUAUUAAGUAAAAUAUACAAAUAUUCGUAUUACUAGAAUCUUUUUUAAACGAUGUUGGUGCAAUUCCCUCACCUGCUUUCCCCCUCCAGUUACAGGCAAACAAAGAUAUAAAUAGGAAAAGAAAAUCUACUAGUACCAUGGCUACUUCGAGUGAUUUUUUUUUAAAAACAUUAAACGUCCCGGCUUUAGUAGAAAAAGCAGCCUGCAGCAGCAAAACACCUGGGUAUAAAACUAUAUCAGCAGAAGCAAGCAUGUGUUUUUGUUUUAAUUUUUUAUUUUAUGGUUGAUUGUGCAAAUUUUCAAAUAAGGUUUAAUAAAAUUAUUGAAGACACUAUUUAUUGUAUUCAGAUUUUAGCUUAAUGUCUUUUUUCUAACAAUAGCUGUUUCAAAUUCAGCACUAAAAUUAGUUUUGGAUAAACUUGCAACAAUGCAGCAAGAAAUUUUGCAUAUUUCGCAAGAGCAGCAAAAUAUGUUUAAUGCUUUUCAAAAAAUGGUUGCUGUAAAGAAGCGUGAACUUCCAGAAGUAAUCACUUGGGAAUGAGAGGAGGGAAAGAUGUCAGUGACACCACAAGACGCAUUUUAGAAAAAGUUUUUAGUAAUGAUCUGGCUAAGAAACUUAAUUGGGCAGGGCGAUGUAAUAAAACUGGAGUGAAAGAUUUAAAAAUCGUAUCUUGUAUAAAAGCUGCUGUGCAAAUUAAUAAGUCUUUUGACGCAAAUGAAGUCAGUAUUGAAAAUGUUGUUAAAUCAUAGUUAAAGUAUGCCGGGGAUCGUGAAGGUGGAAGGGAUGCUUCUGAUAGAGUUAAAUGGAAGGAAUUGUCUAUUUAUCAAGAUAAUGUCAUGGAUAAUGAUGAUGAAGGUGGUGAUGAUAACUGAUUUGUAUAACUACUUGCCUAAUAUAAUUUAAAUACUUGUUUGUUGAAUGUAUGAUUUUCUUACAAAGAAAGACUUUUUUGACUGAA
rnacentral:misc_RNA from 1 species